rnacentral:rRNA from 1 species
AACGAACGCUGGCGGCAUGCCUAAUACAUGCAAGUCGAACGAGAUCUUCGGAUCUAGUGGCGCACGGGUGCGUAACGCGUGGGAAUCUACCCUUGGGUUCGGAAUAACAGUUAGAAAUGACUGCUAAUACCGGAUGAUGACGUAAGUCCAAAGAUUUAUCGCCCAGGGAUGAGCCCGCGUAGGAUUAGCUAGUUGGUGAGGUAAAGGCUCACCAAGGCUACGAUCCUUAGCUGGUCUGAGAGGAUGAUCAGCCACACUGGGACUGAGACACGGCCCAGACUCCUACGGGAGGCAGCAGUAGGGAAUAUUGGACAAUGGGCGAAAGCCUGAUCCAGCAAUGCCGCGUGAGCGAUGAAGGCCUUAGGGUUGUAAAGCUCUUUUACCCGGGAUGAUAAUGACAGUACCGGGAGAAUAAGCCCCGGCUAACUCCGUGCCAGCAGCCGCGGUAAUACGGAGGGGGCUAGCGUUGUUCGGAAUUACUGGGCGUAAAGCGCACGUAGGCGGCUAUUCAAGUCAGAGGUGAAAGCCCGGGGCUCAACCCCGGAAUUGCCUUUGAAACUAGAUAGCUUGAAUCACGGAGAGGUGGGUGGAAUUCCGAGUGUAGAGGUGAAAUUCGUAGAUAUUCGGAAGAACACCAGUGGCGAAGGCGGCCCACUGGACGUGUAUUGACGCUGAGGUGCGAAAGCGUGGGGAGCAAACAGG